rnacentral:misc_RNA from 1 species
AAAAAAAAAAAAAAAAAAAAUUCAUUUGCUAUCUGUCUCAAGAAAGAGAGAUGGACCAUACAGUAUUAAUGGGUUUCCAGAUUCUGGAUAUUGGUCAAAGAUUUUAGGGAGCGAAAGAGAGAGAGAACUUGCUUCUCUUGUGGCUUGGAUUCUUGAUUCGAAUAAAGACAUGGGGCUAUAGAGCAUCAAGAUGAUUUCAUUUUUUUUUCCUUCUUUUUCCUUGUUGGGUGUUCUUUGGUUUUAGGGU